GGGGAGUCAGCCUAGCUGGGAAAGCGCUUGCCUUGUAAGCAUGAGGACCUGAGUUUGAUCCCCAGAAUCCCUG
rnacentral:tRNA from 1 species